rnacentral:lncRNA from 1 species
AUCUCAUGGAAGAACAGAACUGCAGUGACAGAUUUGCUAAAACACAAAUUGUGACUCAGACUUCUACAAAAGUGCACUUUGAAAGGAAGGAUGUCAUAACAACCUCAUGGAAGAGGCAGCAGGGGGAUGCUGCUGCAGAUGGUGCAUGCGAGAGGAAGAAGUUACUUCAUUCAGAGUCAUCCACUCAACUGACUAUCACAGGAUGUGAAGAACAUAGCAUCUCUGCCCUUCAGAAUCCUUCAGAAAGGGAACGCCAACUCACUGAUAUACAUUGAGUAAGUCCCAGAUGUAGGUUUUUUUACUGAAAUGGAUAAAGUGUGUUUGGAGUAGAAUUUCUACCUGCCAAGGGAAGAUCAUAGAGGGUCAUUGACAAAAGUGAUCUUUGGUUUGGGCCUUGAAGGGUAAGUAAUAUUGUAGGAAGAAGGGGUGACGUUAGGAAAAUACAUUCCAUGCAGAAGGAGCCAAUCAUACAAAUAUCUUCUUAUGCAUUCCUGCCAUUCCCCUCUUAUGCCAUUGUACUAUGGCCCAGUUUACCCAUGUGUCUAGCCCUGCAUGAUAUUUAUUGACAAUUUUAUAUGAAUAAGGUAAAUGUAUGCCAUCCUUUACUUCUGUAGCUAUCCUUCCAUUUGGUUGGUUGGUUGGUUGCUUCCUUCUUAGCCUG